GCGGCCGUGAUCUUCAUUGGGAUCGGCUGAGGAACUUCCGGGCUCCAUAGAGCACGAUGGCGGAUAACGUCCGCCCAGGGUGACCUGAGAGAUAGCGCAACAGAGAACAGACCGCCCGUCCUCGACGGGUAAGGGUGAAACGGCGGUGUAAGAGACCACCGGGCCUCUGGUAACAGUAGGUCGCAUGGCAAGCCUCAUCGGGAGCAAGGCCAAGCAGAUGGCGGUAAGGGCUGCUCGCCCGUGUCAUCGGGUAGGCUGCUAGAGCCUGGCGGUAACGUCAGGUCGAGAUGGAUGGCCAUCCGUGCCGUGCGUUCGCGCACGGCACGACAGAACCCGGGGUAUAAGAGGUCUCAUUUU
rnacentral:RNase_P_RNA from 1 species